rnacentral:rRNA from 1 species
UCGAGGAUCUUCGGCAAUGGACGCAAGUCUGACCGAGCGACGCCGCGUGCGGGAUGAAGGCCUUCGGGUUGUAAACCGCUGUCAGUUGGGAGGAAAUCACAUGGGGUUCUCUCCAUGUGUUGACCUAUCUUCAGCGGAAGGACGGGCUAAGUUCGUGCCAGCAGCCGCGGUAAGACGAACCGUCCAAACGUUAUUCGGAAUUACGGGGCUUAAAGGGUGCGUAGGCGGCCCUGUAAGUUGGGUGUGAAAUCCCGCGGCUCAACCGAGGAAUUUCGCCCAAUACGGCAGGGCUAGAGG